GGAGCCUGGGCGACGGGGCACAGGCCGCACAGACGGGACGACGGGUCUGCGUGGCCGGGAAGCGCGGGAGGUGGGGGGGGCCGCCCUGUCUGGUCCCCAUGGCGUCGCCUGUGGUUCUGACCCGAGGGCCCCCGGAUGCCCGGGGGGCCGGGUGAGCGCCGGGCUGGCCUCCGCGCGGCGGCCUCGGCAGACGCGCGCCCGGCGCCGGGGCCUGUCGGGAGCGGUCUCCGGUGACCUGGGCGUCUCUCGAGAACCAGGAUCUGUCUCACAGCCCGCAGAGCGGCCGGAAGAGCGAGAUGUGCCGGUAGCGCGGUGUCGCGCUUGCACCCAGCGUUGAGUCUGUGCCGUAAAACCUGUCGCGUCCACUGGCGCCCUUCGCGCCCCACGCUUGACAGCGCGCUCGUUUCUUUGUAGCAUCACCUUGGAGCCGACCGGCCGGACCGGAAGCCCGGAGCGAGCCCCUGAGCCUCAGGCAAGCCUGUUGCGCUGAGCCCACCCAAGCUCCCAUCAGGGCGGGACGGUCGUGCAGCUGCCAUCAGCUUCUGUCUAGUUGUGCAGCAUCCUUUCCGUCAGGAGGCUGGAUUCGUCUUUCCAAGUUAACCGGCCCAAGCCAUGGCGUCCGAAUCGCGGGAGACGCCUGACAAGCCCCCCUGAGGUGUCUUCAGAAUGCCGAGGCUCAGGUUUCCUUCCAACACCACCCUCCCAAGGCUGCCGCCUACAAAUGGCCUGAGUCCUCCACUGCACCAUUAAGUUAAAUAAGGAACCCUCAGACCCACCCGCUGAAAAGCGCGUUCAUCAGAGCGUUUGGUGCAAAACAGCUGGCAGCUGUCGGCGCGGGGGCAUCGGCUCGGAGAGGCCUCAGGUGCGGGAGCCCACGAGGGGUGGCUCUGGCCCGUGAUGAGCGGCCGCGUCCCGCUGGCCGAGAAAGCCCUGUCUGAAGGCCACGCCCGGCUGCGGUACAGGGACACCUCCCUGCUCAUCUGGCAGCAGCAGCAGCGAAAACUAGAAUCUGUGCCGCCCGGGACGUACCUGAGCAGGAGCAGAAGCAUGUGGUACACGCAGUACGGGAACGAGGCCAUCUUGGUCCGUGACAGACACAAGCUGGAGGUCUCCCGUGACACGGGCCAGUCCAAGUUCUGCACAAUUAUGUGAUUCCAGGGUGAGAACCAGGGCCAGGCGCCCAGCUGGGAGCACAGGCCCCGUCUCCUUCAGCUGUCUUGCGGAUUCCUAGGCCUCACCGGGAGACUGAACAGUGAACGUGAAGACCAAGCCGUUUGGUAAGAACCCACGAAUGGCAGAAAUGCCUCCGUCACUAUCGGUGCGACCGGUAGGCCCGGCCCCUGGCCUCCGUUCUAACCGUCCAGACCGGGGUACCACUCCAUCUGCUUAGCACGCUUCCAAUACAUCAGCCAAAAGGUUACAGCCUUUUCAAGUGUUGUGGGUUGUUUAUAGUAUUCACUCUUGCCUGAUGAGUCAGACCUAAAAACAGGAAGAAACGGGCGUGUAUGGUGGAAAAUCCAUUUACAGAACCAGGAUGGAUGUAACUUAAAUGAUCAUCAAUGGCGUGUCAACGGGAACUUCGAGGCACCUGUUUUGAGUCUACUUACCAAAAUGACCACCAUGUGUGUGCCCUGUGGUAGCGCCCACACUAUCUUCCAAAUAGUGGAGGACUGCGGGCAAGUGCAUCCAAAAAUCAUUAAGGAAAACAAAAAUUACUUUUAAGUUCCACAUCAGUUGCUUACAGGGGUUUCAGAUUUGAUCACGGGGCUGGAAAAGGAAGGUUCUGGACUGACAGCGCUUUCCAGCCCGUCCGCUCCGAGGCUGCUGCUCUGCUCCUCACUGUUAUCAGCUGUCUGAUGCUCGUCAGUCAUUACCGCACAGGCUGGGGCGCAACGUGUGGGCACUUCUUAAGAAUCAUUUUCAAAGGAUUUGCCGUGGGCUAUAGUUAGCGUGGCUAUGAAAUGUAGGAGUAUCAUUGUCACAGCUGAUUUUGCUUUUCUAAAUAAAUAAUAAAUAUCCUUUAGAACUCUC